CCUGACCUGCAUUCGAUACGGUCGAGCUAGAGUGUGGUAGGGGAGACAGGAAUUCCUGGUGUAGCGGUGGAAUGCGCAGAUAUCAGGAGGAACACCGAUGGCGAAGGCAGGUCUCUGGGCCAUUACUGACACUGAGGAGCGAAAGCGUGGGGAGCGAACAGGAUUAGAUACCCUGGUAGUCCACGCCGUAAACGGUGGGCGCUAGUUGUGCGAACCUUCCACGGUUUGUGCGACGCAGCUAACGCAUUAAGCGCCCCGCCUGGGGAGUACGAUCGCAAGAUUAAAACUCAAAGGAAUUGACGGGGCCCCGCGCAAGCAGCGGAGCAUGCGGCUUAAUUCGACGCAACGCGAAGAACCUUACCAAGGCUUGACAUAUACAGGAAUACGGCAGAGAUGUCGUAGCCGCAAGGUCUGUAUACAGGUGGUGCAUGGUUGUCGUCAGCUCGUGUCGUGAGAUGUUGGGUUAAGUCCCGCAACGAGCGCAACCCUCGUUCUGUGUUGCCAGCAUUUAGUUGGGGACUCACAGGAGACUGCCGGGGUUAACUCGGAGGAAGGUGGGGAUGACGUCAAAUCAUCAUGCCCCUUAUGUCUUGGGCUGCACGCAUGCUACAAUGGCUGGUACAAACGGCUGCAACACCGCAAGGUGGAGCGAAUCCGAGAAAGCCAGUCUCAGUUCGGAUUGGGGUCUGCAACUCGACCCCAUGAAGUCGGAGUUGCUAGUAAUCGUAGAUCAGCAACGCUACGGUGAAUACGUUCCCGGGGCUUGUACACACCGCCCGUCACGUCACGAAAGUCGGUAACACCCAAAGUCAGUGGCCCAACCGCAAGG
rnacentral:rRNA from 1 species